GACGAACGCUGGCGGCGUGCUUAACACAUGCAAGUCGAACGAAGAGCGAUGGAAUCUUGCUUCUAUCAAUCUGAGUGGCGCACGGGUGAGUAACGCGUAAUCAACCUGCCCUUCAGAGGGGGACAACAGUUGGAAACGACUGCUCAUACCGCAUACGAUCUAAUCUUGGCAUCGAGGAUAGAUGAAAGGCGGCCUCUACAUGUAAGCUAUCACUGAAGGUGGUGAUUGGGUCUGAUUAGCUAGUUGGCGGGGUAACGGCCCAACAAGGCGAUGAUCAGUAGCCGGUAUGGGGAGAUGAACGGCCACAUUGGGACUGAGACACGGCCCAGACUCCUAAGGGAGGCAGCAGUGGGGAAUCUUUCGCAAUGGACGAAAGGCUGGCGGAGCAACGCCGCGUGGGUGAUGACGGCCUUCGGGUUGUAAAGCUCUGUUAAUCGGGACGAAAGGGCUUCUUGCGAAUAGUGAGAAGGAUUGACGGUACCGGAAUAGAAAGCCACGGCUAACUACGUG
rnacentral:rRNA from 1 species